rnacentral:rRNA from 1 species
GACGAACGCUGGCGGCGUGCUUAACACAUGCAAGUCGAACGGAAAGGCCCUGCUUUUGUGGGGUGCUCGAGUGGCGAACGGGUGAGUAACACGUGAGUAACCUGCCCUUGACUUUGGGAUAACUUCAGGAAACUGGGGCUAAUACCGGAUAGGAGCUCCUGCUGCAUAGUGGGGGUUGGAAAGUUUCGGCGGUUGGGGAUGGACUCGCGGCUUAUCAGCUUGUUGGUGGGGUAGUGGCUUACCAAGGCUUUGACGGGUAGCCGGCCUGAGAGGGUGACCGGCCACAUUGGGACUGAGAUACGGACCAGACUCCUACGGGAGGCAGCAGUGGGGAAUAUUGCACAAUGGGCGGAAGCCUGAUGCAGCAACGCCGCGUGCGGGAUGACGGCCUUCGGGUUGUAAACCGCUUUCGCCUGUGACGAAGCGUGAGUGACGGUAAUGGGUAAAGAAGCACCGGCUAACUACGUG